GAUGAACGCUAGCGACAGGCUUAACACAUGCAAGUCGAGGGGCAGCAUGAGGUAGCAAUACCUUGAUGGCGACCGGCGCACGGGUGAGUAACGCGUAUGCAACCUGCCCGAUACCGGGGUAUAGCCCAUGGAAACGUGGAUUAACACCCCAUAGUACUUUUAUCCUGCAUGGGAUGUGAGUUAAAUGUUCAAGGUAUCGGAUGGGCAUGCGUCCUAUUAGUUAGUUGGCGGGGUAACAGCCCACCAAGACGAUGAUAGGUAGGGGUUCCGAGAGGAAGGGCCCCCACAUUGGAACUGGGACACGGUCCAAACUCCUACGGGAGGCAGCAGUGAGGAAUAUCGGUCAAUCGACGUAAGUCUGAACCGGCCAAGUCGCGUGAGGGAAGACUGCCCUAUGGGUUGUAAACCUCUUUUAUAAGGGAAGAAUAAGUGCUACGUGUAGAAUGAUGCCUGUACCUUAUGAAUAAGCAUCGGCUAACUCCGUGCCAGCCGCCGCGGUAA
rnacentral:rRNA from 1 species